rnacentral:tRNA from 1 species
GAGUUAGUUUAAAAUAAAAAUCCUGGUCUGUGGAACCGGAGAUAACACCCGUUGCUC